GAGUUAAUAUGACGAUGUAAAUUUUAAACCUAAAAGAAAUGAAAAUUUCAAAAAGGAAGCAUAUAGGGCAAAAAGAAGGACCCAAUAUGAGCAAUUCACUAAAACUUAAAAUGCUUUCCUUCUAAUUUCAACUCCUGUACAUCAAUAGGUUCCACCCGCUCCAACAUAAGCACCAUUUAUGCCUAUUUGAUCUCCCUGCAGCAGAGUGACAAAAAAAUUGCAAGAGUUUAUUCUUAUUAUACCCAGGUCGAUUCAAGCAAGGAGAGAGAAUCAAACGUAAAAAGAGUUUAUUCUUAUUUCGACUUUUGCCUCUCCAGAAGUUCAAUGAACCUUUCAAAGUCUUUCUUUCUCUUUUACUUUCCAGAAUGAAUUGCCUUUCUUUUCUUUUCGUUAUCAAACUAGCCGUGUUACCUUCAAAUAUGUAAGAGUUGUUGGAUUUCAAAAUCUCCAGUAAAAGUGUUUGGUUAGUGACAAACGCUACUAAAAUUAAGAAUUAGAAAGAACAAUUAAUCAAACAUACAAAUGCAAAAGGGUUAAAAAAUAAACUAAGGAAUGAUGUGCACCAAAUAUACAACUAACAAAUCACAUAUAUACUACAAUUGAACUAACAGAUAACACCUAAAAGGAUUUCGGGUGUCUUGUACCAUAAAGCAAAAAUCUAUAAAAAUACCCCGAGUUGACCAACAUUUGAAAAUGUUAUAUUUUGCAUACAGUAAGACAGUUAACAAAAAAAUAAACUUUACCUCAAGAGUGUAUUUCUUCAUUUAAAGAGCAAAUACCCGAGCUAACCUCAGAUCUACUAUCAUAACCGAUAUUGUCUGUCGAUCCAUAAAGAAGUAAAGCUUAAGGUCCCUGCGACGAAGAAAAAGUGCAAGAUAGAAAACAAGUUCUGUGUCUGAUUUAUGCGUAUGGCAAAAGCAACACCUCUUCAUUUAAAGAGCAACACCUCUGGAACAUAUUCGUUAAAACUCUUGGUAUCAAUUUUAAAUUUUGAAAGUUAUGAAAACAUAAACGUAACAUCAGAAAUUGUUCAUGCCUUGACUGUUUUAGCGAUAGUUCUUAAUCAAUUUCUUGAAAUCAAUGCCCAAGUGCUCUCUUUAUGUAUUAUGUAUGUAUCCAUGUGUGUGUAAUUACGAAUAUACGUAUGUAUGUAUGCACCGCCCUCGAUCAUUUGGCACCACCUAAUUAGUCAACAAAGAAUACAUCUUGAGUUAAUAUGACGAUGUAAAUUUUAAACCUAAAAGAAAUGAAAAUUUCAAAAAGGAAGCAUAUAGGGCAAAAAGAAGGACCCAAUAUGAGCAAUUCACUAAAACUUAAAAUGCUUUCCUUCUAAUUUCAACUCCUGUACAUCAAUAGGUUCCACCCGCUCCAACAUAAGCACCAUUUAUGCCUAUUUGAUCUCCCUGCAGCAGAGUGACAAAAAAAUUGCAAGAGUUUAUUCUUAUUAUACCCAGGUCGAUUCAAGCAAGGAGAGAGAAUCAAACGUAAAAAGAGUUUAUUCUUAUUUCGACUUUUGCCUCUCCAGAAGUUCAAUGAACCUUUCAAAGUCUUUCUUUCUCUUUUACUUUCCAGAAUGAAUUGCCUUGCAAGUAUCUCAUUUUGAUAAACAAAACAAUUUAAAUUUAUGAUCAAAAAGAAAUCAAGAGUAUUAACUUGAACCAUUGAUAACAAACUCCCAAGAGAUUGAGUAGAAUUUGGAAUGCUUUUCUUCUUAUUUAAGUCCAGCAUAUUUAAAUGAAAAUUUCAGUCUGUUGUAAUUUAGGCAUUUGUUAUUAUCUUGCUGCAGCAUGAGUCCCAGAAAAAAUGUAAAGAAAAUCAAAGGUUAAAUGAUAAUAGGAAAAACUAGCAGCGUCCAUUCAAGAAAAGGAAAGGCAUGACCAAAACAUAGGAAUCUGUAUCACUCCAUGUAUCAAGAAAUGAUCAGCUGAGUGUUUCAUCCUUGCACCCACAGGUACCCACUGGAUUGCCAUACCAUAAUAUAUAUUAAACAAAGGAAAUCUUACAAUACAUCAUUAACGUGUUAGCUUAAAGCAAUUCUGGAAUGUAUUCUUCUAUGCAUAAGUAAGUAAAUGCACACCCACUUACACAAUCAUUUCACAGGCUUCAUUCUUUUUUCCAGAUACCUAAUUUUAUUCUCUCGAGUAAACUCAAGAAGCAAAGAACACCAACAUGCAUAAGAGACAAGCUAAUCGAAUAGUAUCCAAAUCUAACCUACGUAUUUAAAAUAAAAAGAGACAACCAAGAAGUUAAGGAUUUCCGAAGAACACAAACUCACAGUA
rnacentral:lncRNA from 1 species